CGUGCAGGAUGAAGGCCUCGGGUUGUAACUGCUUUUGUACGGAACGAAAAGGCUUUCUCUAAUACAGGGGGCUCAUGACGGUACCGUAAGAAUAAGCACCGGCUAACUACGUGCCAGCAGCCGCGGUAAUACGUAGGGUGCAAGCGUUAAUCGGAAUUACUGGGCGUAAAGCGUGCGCAGGCGGUGAUGUAAGACAGUUGUGAAAUCCCCGGGCUCAACCUGGGAACUGCAUCUGUGACUGCAUCGCUGGAGUGCGGCAGAGGGGGAUGGAAUUCCGCGUGUAGCAGUGAAAUGCGUAGAUAUGCGGAGGAACACCGAUGGCGAAGCAAUCCCCUGGGCCUGCACUGACGCUCAUGCACGAAAGCGUGGGGAGCAAACAGGAUUAGAUACCCUGGUAGUCCACGCCCUAAACGAUGUCACUGGUUGUUGGGUCUUCCUGACUCA
rnacentral:rRNA from 1 species